GAUAACUCCCGGAAACCGGAGCUAAUACGGAUAGUUCCUUGAACGGCAUGGUUCAAGGAUGAAAGACGGUUUCGGCUGUCACUUACAGAUGGACCCGCGGCGCAUAGCUAGUUGGUGAGGUAACGGCUCACCAAGGCGACGAUGCGUAGCCGACCUGAGAGGGUGAUCGGCCACACUGGGACUGAGACACGGCCCAGACUCCUACGGGAGGCAGCAGUAGGGAAUCUUCCGCAAUGGACGAAAGUCUGACGGAGCAACGCCGCGUGAGUGAUGAAGGUNUUCGGAUCGUANAGCUCUGUUGUUAGGGAAGAACAAGUGCAAGAGUAACUGCUUGCACCUUGACGGUACCUAACCAGAAAGCCACGGCUAACUACGUGCCAGCAGCCGCGGUAAUACGUAGGUGGCAAGCGUUGUCCGGAAUUAUUGGGCGUAAAGGGCUCGCAGGCGGUUUCUUAAGUCUGAUGUGAAAGCCCCCGGCUCAACCGGGGAGGGUCAUUGGAAACUGGGAAACUUGAGUGCAGAAGAGGAGAGUGGAAUUCCACGUGUAGCGGUGAAAUGCGUAGAGAUGUGGAGGAACACCAGUGGCGAAGGCGACUCUCUGGUCUGUAACUGACGCUGAGGAGCGAAAGCGUGGGGAGCGAACAGGAUUAGAUACCCUGGUAGUCCACGCCGUAAACGAUGAGUGCUAAGUGUUAGGGGGUUUCCGCCCCUUAGUGCUGCAGCUAACGCAUUAAGCACUCCGCCUGGGGAGUACGGUCGCAAGACUGAAACUCAAAGGAAUUGACGGGGGCCCGCACAAGCGGUGGAGCAUGUGGUUUAAUUCGAAGCAACGCGAAGAACCUUACCAGGUCUUGACAUCCUCUGACAACCCUAGAGAUAGGGCUUUCCCUUCGGGGACAGAG
rnacentral:rRNA from 1 species